rnacentral:rRNA from 1 species
UACGAAGGGGGCUAGCGUUGCUCGGAAUCACUGGGCGUAAAGCGCACGUAGGCGGCUUUUUAAGUCAGGGGUGAAAUCCUGGAGCUCAACUCCAGAACUGCCUUUGAUACUGAGAAGCUUGAGUCCGGGAGAGGUGAGUGGAACUGCGAGUGUAGAGGUGAAAUUCGUAGAUAUUCGCAAGAACACCAGUGGCGAAGGCGGGUCUCUGGGCCGAUACUGACGCUGAGGAGCGAAAGCGUGGGGAGCAAACAGG